AGGACGAACGCUGGCGGCGUGCCUAACACAUGCAAGUCGAACGAGGUUAAUCCGGUAGCAAUACUGGUGACUGCCUAGUGGCGAACGGGUGAGUAGCACGUGAGCAACCUGCCCCGAAGACCGGGACAACACCGGGAAACCGGUGCUAAUACCGGAUACCCCCACCUAAUCGCAUGAUCUGGUGAGGAAAUGGAUUCCGCUUCGGGAGGGGCUCGCGGCCUAUCAGCUAGUUGGUGAGGUAACGGCUCACCAAGGCUUCGACGGGUAGCUGGUCUGAGAGGACGAUCAGCCACACUGGGACUGAGACACGGCCCAGACUCCUACGGGAGGCAGCAGUGGGGAAUCUUGCACAAUGGGCGAAAGCCUGAUGCAGCAACGCCGCGUGAGGGACGAAGGCUUUCUGAGUUGUAAACCUCUUUCAGCAGGGACGAUUGUGACGGUACCUGCAGAAGAAGCCCGGCAACUACGUGCCAGCAGCCGCGGUAA
rnacentral:rRNA from 1 species